rnacentral:rRNA from 1 species
AUUGAACGCUGGCGGCAGGCUUAACACAUGCAAGUCGAGCGAGCGGCGGACGGGUGAGUAAUUUCUGGGAAACUGCCUGAUGGAGGGGGCUAACUACUGUAACCGGUAGCUACUACCGCAUACCAUCAGAUGUGCCCAGCUGGGAUUAGCUAGUAGGUGGGGUAAUGGCUCACCUAGGCGACGAUCCCUAGCUGGUCUGAGAGGAUGACCGGCCACACUGGAACUGAGACACGGCCCAGACUCCUACGGGAGGCAGCAGUAGGGAAUAUUGCGCAAUGGGCGCAAGCCUGAUGGAGCAAUGCCGCGUGAGUGAAGAAGGCCUUCGGGUUGUAAAGCACUUUCGGCGGGGAGGCGUUACCCACAGAAGAAGCACCGGCUAACUCCGUGCCAGCAGCCGCGGUAAUAC